rnacentral:rRNA from 1 species
UAGGGAAUCUUCCACAAUGGGCGAAAGCCUGAUGGAGCAACGCCGCGUGUGUGAUGAAGGGUUCCGGCUCGUAAAACACUGUUGUAAGAGAAGAAUGACAUUGAGAGUAACUGUUCAAUGUGUGACGGUAUCUUACCAGAAAGCCACGGCUAACUACGUGUCAG